GGGGGUGAAUUAGGUUCGACAGGGAUCUUGUUCAUCUAAGUCGCAGGUCGGAGUUGGCCGAAGGCUCCGUUACUAAUCGGCCAAAACAAACAAGCCAACGAACAAUUGGCACUUGCUGCUUAAUUAGCAGUAGCGUUCCCCUUAAGACACCUGCUAUUAGGGAUGGAACGUCGAAAGCAGGCUCGUUCUACUCUGCUUGCCUUGUCGGAGUAGGGCCAGAAAAUAACAGGGCUUGUGAACAGGUGGUUCAGUUUAGAGACAACCUGUUUACGAGAACAACUCUAAACUAAACCUGUAGUGGCUUUGAUGUCAAAUUCUUGGACACGGGUGCAAUUCCCGUCACCUCCACCA
rnacentral:tmRNA from 4 species